rnacentral:rRNA from 1 species
UGCGUAGGCGGGAAAUUAAGUCAGUGGUGAAAGCCCCGAGCUCAACUUGGGAACUGCCAUUGAUACUGAUUUUCUUGAAUGUAGUUGAGGCAGGCGGAAUACAACAUGUAGCGGUGAAAUGCAUAGAUAUGUUGUAGAACACCGAUUGCGAAGGCAGCUUGCUAAACUACUAUUGACGCUGAGGCACGAAAGCGUGGGGAGCGAACAGGAUUAGAUACCCUGGUAGUCC